CCUACGGGAGGCAGCAGUGGGGAAUAUUGGNCAAUGCGCGCAAGCCUGAUCCAGCACAUACCGCGUGUGUGAAGAAGGCCUUACGGCUCUAAAGCGAUGUCAGUCUGGAAGAAAUAAAGCUGUGUUCAAUGGGNAAGAGAAUUGACGUUACUCUCAGAAGAAGCACCGGCUAACUCCGUGCCAGCAGCCGCGGUAAU
rnacentral:rRNA from 1 species